CCUGCUUGUCUGAGGGCGGCGAGGAAUCCGCAGUGGCGUGAAGGCUGAGGGCAGAAGAGCGGGGCACGUGCUCAGAGGCCCUGGGCAGGCCCGGCAGACGGGGACGUGUGAUUGGAUGAUGGCGAAGAUGGUAGGUUCCUGCGGUGUCCAGGCUGGGCUGUCACGUGGAUGAGGUGGUGGCAUUACUAGUCAUGCCUGUCCGAGCUGCUGUGGGCGAUGUGGCCACCCCCCACCUCUUCACUGAGCAGCUCUAAGCUGCACCUGCCCAGGAUUCAGGAUGCUCACUGCUCUAGGAUCUGCCCCACGUGGAGUCGCAUCACUCUCUUCGGUCUCUCUGUCCAGCCCUCUGCAGCCUCAGGCCAUGAGCUGGAGCCUUUGUGGCUGUGCCUUUGCCCAUAAACAGGUCCCCUAUCCUGCCCUCAGGGAAGCUGGGACAGGCUCUCUCCCAGCCCUCUUUGCCCCGAGUAGGUCGGCCCUGCCUUCACUCAUACUGUCGAGACUGGUUGGUGUGGGCUGAAGCUCUUGAGGUGUGGUGCAGAAGUGGGUUCUGACCAGAGAGCAA